rnacentral:lncRNA from 1 species
GAAAAAACGGGAGAUCAGUGAGCUAGCAGCAGAGAAGCCUUCCUGGAAAAGGAUAGCUUGGUGCCAGCCCCAGUAAUUUAGUCGAGUUUCCUGUUAUGAGCAGUUUGGAUCCCAGGAAAGGACUCCAGUGGCGAAUGUUGGGAAACAUUAAUGAUGGUGAUUGCCAUUUUGAUAACACAGUAGAUUUUACAAAGGGACCUCUUUUGUUUGAAAAUGUAUUUUUUUAUUUUAAUUAAGAGACGCAAAAAAAGCCCAAACAGUCUUAACCUUAAGGACAGAUUGUGUUCUCAAAAUUAAUGGGAAGUCAUUAUUUGGAGCAUACUUAAAAUGGUGAGUGGUUUCCCAGCACUACUUUAAGCCAUAACAUAGCUGAACUACAGCAGUAAUAUUCUGCUUCAUAAUUUUCCAUUAUUUCUUUGGAAAAAAAAAAGGAGGGCUCCCAAAAUAUAUGUGGUGUUCAUAUGCUCUCAGAGUAUAGAAGAGAGCUAAUUUUCUGUCUUUGUCUGCUAUUCCCCAGCCCCCAGAAGACUGGAAACUGGUUAUUCCUUCUCUUAUUACGGAGAGGAUACCUUCCUUUUGUCAGCCCCCAGUGAGAAGACAGGAGUUGAGACGAUGACUCCUGUGCUUGCUCAAUUGGAGAUUGUGCAUUGCAGACAUUGGAACAGGGAGAAUAAAGGGAUCAUUCAAUGAUGUGUGAUGUGACUGUGUAUUGUCUGAAAGCACCUUGAGUUAGGAUAGGGAAAGAGUAGAGGUGAGAGAGGGUAAUCUUCCCAUGGGGGAGAGAGGAAGAAGGAAGAGUGAUAGCGUGCAAGUCACUGAGUCUUGAGAAGGGGAGUACACGGUAGAGGAAAUAGUGCGUGACCCUGCCUGCGGCAACACCUGUAGAAGACAGUCUCAGGCUCAGGUGGGAGUGAGAUAAAUCCCUCUACGUUUCCAAAUUUGGUCUUCAGGUCCGGGAUUCCUAGAAAACAGCUUGACCUUGGCCAGGUGUGGUGGCUCACGCCUGUAAUCCCAGCACUUUGGGAGGCCGAGGCGGGCAGAUCACGAGGUCAGGAGAUCGAGACCAUCCUGGCUAUCACGGUGAAACCCCGCUUCUACUAAAAAUCCAAAAAAUUAGCUGGGCAUCGUGGUGGGUGCCUGUAGUCCCAGCCACUCGGGAGGCUGAGGCAGGAGAAUGGUGUGAAUCCGGGAGGCAGAGCUUGCAGUGAGCCAAGAUCACGCCACUGCGCUCUAGCCUGGGCCACAGAGCAAGACUCCGUCUCAAAAAAAAAAAGAAAA